rnacentral:rRNA from 1 species
UACGUAGGGGGCAAGCGUUGUUCGGAUUUAUUGGGCGUAAAGAGCUCGUAGGCGGUUCGUUAAGUCGGGUGUGAAACCUCCAGGCUCAACCUGGAGACGCCACCCGAUACUGCUGUGACUAGAGUCCGGUAGGGGAGCGUGGAAUUCCUGGUGUAGCGGUGAAAUGCGCAGAUAUCAGGAGGAACACCAGCGGCGAAGGCGGCGCUCUGGGCCGGAACUGACGCUGAGGAGCGAAAGCGUGGGGAGCAAACAGG